UACGAAGGGGGCUAGCGUUGCUCGGAAUUACUGGGCGUAAAGCGCACGUAGGCGGCUUUCUAAGUCGGGGGUGAAAUCCUGGAGCUCAACUCCAGAACUGCCUUCGAUACUGGAGAGCUUGAGUCCGGGAGAGGUGAGUGGAACUGCGAGUGUAGAGGUGAAAUUCGUAGAAUAUUCGCAAGAACACCAGGUGGCGAAAGGCGGCC
rnacentral:rRNA from 1 species